rnacentral:rRNA from 1 species
GCAUCUUCUUGUUAUUAAAGAAUUUCGAUAACCGAUGGGGAUGCGUUCCAUUAGUUUGUUGGCGGGGUAACGGCCCACCAAGACAUCGAUGGAUAGGGGUUCUGAGAGGAAGGUCCCCCACAUUGGAACUGAGACACGGUCCAAACUCCUACGGGAGGCAGCAGUGAGGAAUAUUGGUCAAUGGACGAGAGUCUGAGCCAGCCAAGUAGCGUGAAGGAUGACUGCCCUAUGGGUUGUAAACUUCUUUUAUAUGGGAAUAAAGUGAGCCACGUGUGGCUUUUUGUAUGUACCAUACGAAUAAGGAUCGGCUAACUCCGUGCCAGCAGCCGCGGUAAUACGGAGGAUCCGAGCGUUAUCCGGAUUUAUUGGGUUUAAAGGGAGCGUAGGCGGACUAUUAAGUCAGCUGUGAAAGUUUGCGGCUCAACCGUAAAAUUGCAGUUGAUACUGGUCGUCUUGAGUGCAGUAGAGGUAGGCGGAAUUCGUGGUGUAGCGGUGAAAUGCUUAGAUAUCACGAAGAACUCCGAUUGCGAAGGCAGCUUACUGGACUGUAACUGACGCUGAUGCUCGAAAGUGUGGGUAUCAAACAGGAUUAGAUACCCUGGUAGUCCACACAGUAAACGAUGAAUACUCGCUGUUUGCGAUAUACAGCAAGCGGCC